GACGAACGCUGGCGGCGUGCUUAACACAUGCAAGUCGAACGGAAAGGCCCUGCUUUUGUGGGGUGCUCGAGUGGCGAACGGGUGAGUAACACGUGAGUAACCUGCCCUUGACUUUGGGAUAACUUCAGGAAACUGGGGCUAAUACCGGAUAGGAGCUCCUGCUGCAUGGUGGGGGUUGGAAAGUUUCGGCGGUUGGGGAUGGACUCGCGGCUUAUCAGCUUGUUGGUGGGGUAGUGGCUUACCAAGGCUUUGACGGGUAGCCGGCCUGAGAGGGUGACCGGCCACAUUGGGACUGAGUUACGGCCCAGACUCCUACGGGAGGCAGCAGUGUGGAAUAUUGCACAAUGGGCGGAAGCCUGAUGCAGCAACGCCGCGUGCGGGAUGACGGCCUUCGGGUUGUAAACCGCUUUCGCCUGUGACGAAGCGUGAGUGACGGUAAUGGGUAAAGAAGCACCGGCUAACUACGUG
rnacentral:rRNA from 1 species